UAGGCAGAAGCCAAAUUGGGCGCCUAACUGUUAAUUAGGAAGUUGUAGUAAUGCGGACUACCUGUCUAG
rnacentral:tRNA from 1 species